GGCUCAUUAACACGUGGUUAACAUACCCUCAGGUGGGGGAUAACCUUGGGAAACUGAGGAUAAUACCCCAUAGAAAAAGCAGUCUGGAACGAUUCUUUUUCGAAAGCAUAUGCGCCUGAGGAUUGGACUGCGCUCGAUUAGGUAGUUGGUGGGGUAAUGGCCUACCAAGCCUACGAUCGGUACGGGCCUUGAGAGAGGAAGCCCGGAGAUGGGGACUGAGACACGGCCCCAGGCCCUACGGGGCGCAGCAGGCGCGAAACCUCCGCAAUGCACGAAAGUGCGACGGGGGGAUCCCAAGUGCUCAUGCACAGCAUGGGCUUUUAUCAAGUGUAAACAGCUUGAGGAAUAAGGGCUGGGCAAGUUCGGUGCCAGCAGCCGCGGUAACACCGACGGCCCGAGUGGUGGCCACUUUUAUUGGGCCUAAAGCGUCCGUAGCCGGUCCAGUAAGUCCUUGUUUAAAUCCUGCGGCUUAACCGCAGGACUGGCAGGGAUACUGCUGGACUUGGGACCGGGAGAGGACAAGGGUACUUCAGGGGUAGCGGUGAAAUGUGUUGAUCCUUGAAGGACCACCUAUGGCGAAGGCACUUGUCUGGAACGGGU
rnacentral:rRNA from 1 species